AGCACGUACCACUUGAAAAGGUGAAGAAUGAAUAACACGUUUACAGCAAAUGAAUACAAACUAGCUACAUGAGUAUAUUUUGGCUGCUUUCCAGUGGGCAAAUGUUUGCACAGUUAUUUGGCCUUUACAAAGCAAAAAUUCAGGAAGAGAAUUUUGGAAAUCCCUGCAAGGAGCAGAUACCCAGUGGUGAAGAGGAAUGAAUGCUCCAUUUAACUGUUUUGCCUGUUUGCAGGACAAGUUCCUGUCAGGUGAACAGAAAAUGAACCUGUUGCUAUGGGAAGAUGUGACAAAAGUAACUUUUGAUUGUUCUACCUCUUCUUUUCUUUCAUCAGGCCUGCAGUGAUUUUCCUGAGUUUGGUUGCAUUUCUUGUACUCCCUGAUACCUUCUAGUUAUGAUGGAAUUUUGUUGGGAAAACCAUUGUCUUGUACUUCUCAGUUAUUUGGGGAUGGAAGAUCACUUUCCCCCAUUUACAGCAAAGACUGUCCCAGGCAAAGACUGGCAGUUGAGCUCUUAAUGGUUCUCUAGAAACUAGAGAUAAAAAUUUAUGAGGUCUGCUCCUUUCCUGAUGCACAGAAAGUUACUUAAACAACUUUCUGUGUGGACAAGUCAGUGAGCAAGGCAGUACUGCCUUUUAAGCUUCUCCAACCAAGAGAGUCAGUACCCUGCUGAUGAAAGCCUGGUGACUACAUUGUUGUAAUAUAUGUGUAUUUUGGUGACAGUUGCAUUUGACUGAAGACUGGAGCUGUUGAAUAACAUUUUGGUUUUUUCCCCCUGCCUCCUGUUGCCAAACCUUCAGUAGGUUUCCUUCAAUAGGUGUCCUUCAAACCAUCUGCUCUACCUGGAACUGGAGAGAUGGAAAACAGAAAGAAAGAAACAGAAGAACAGAAAAAGCAGAACAGAAGAUAGAUACACUGUCGAGGAAAUUUGACCAAAGCAUGUCUGACAUAGUGGUGAGGAGAUUUUGUCACAUUGGCAAGGACAGGUAUUCUGAGUGUGGAGAACAAUCAACAAUGGAGAGAAACACGGAACACAAUUUUUAUGAUGGCAAGAAAAUGUUAAUUUGGAGGGUUUUAUUGCUUAUUAGUCACGGGCAAAAAGGCAGCACUUUUUAGAUGUUUAGAUGUGGGGCAUUCUGGUCUAGCCAGACAUAUUUAAUUUUCUGCAAAAGAAAUUAGGGAAGAGAGUUCUCUGGAAGGGACAAAGGAAGUAGGGAGCAGAUCACAAGGAACAUAU
rnacentral:lncRNA from 1 species